UGGGGAAUUUUGGACAAUGGGCGCAAGCCUGAUCCAGCCAUGCCGCGUGCGGGAAGAAGGCCUUCGGGUUGUAAACCGCUUUUGUCAGGGAAAGAAAUCUUCUGAGUUAAUACCUCGGGAGGAUGACGGUACCUGAAGAAUAAGCACCGGCUAACUACGUGCCAGCAGCCGCGGUAAUACGUAGGGUGCAAGCGUUAAUCGGAAUUACUGGGCGUAAAGCGUGCGCAGGCGGUUUUGUAAGACAGAGGUGAAAUCCCCGGGCUCAACCUGGGAACUGCCUUUGUGACUGCAAGGCUUGAGUGCGGCAGAGGGGGGAUGGAAUUCCGCGUGUAGCAGUGAAAUGCGUAGAUAUGCGGAGGAACACCGAUGGCGAAGGCAAUCCCCUGGGCCUGCACUGACGCUCAUGCACGAAAAGCGUGGGGAGCAAAACAGGAUUAGAUACCCUGGUAGUCCACGCCCUAAACGAUGUCAACUAGUUGUUGGGGGAUUCAUUUCCUUAGUAACGUAGCUAACGCGUGAAAGUUGACCGCCUGGGGGAGUAACGGUCGCAAAGAUUAAAAA
rnacentral:rRNA from 1 species